GGUGUAUGGUGAUGUUGGUAAUAACAAUGGUGAAAGUAUAAUUCUACUUUUGCUCUUUUGAGGGGAUACAUACCUUCCUUGCUUUUUGAAACUUUAUGAGGAGAAUGAGAUGCUCUUCUUUUUCUUUCCGAUCAGGUGGGUAUCUUGUACCCCUAAUUCUACUGUCGGACACUUGUCCAUUUUUACCUCUCGUCUCACUUUUUCUUUCUUUCGAGGUUUCGGGCACUUGCCCCUUUUUAUCUCCUCGUUUAUAUAUAUAUAUAUAUAUAUAUAUAUAUAUAUUUUCUUCUCUUUUCUUUUUUUUCAGAGCACUCAUCUCUUGAGAUAAUAUAGCAAGUGGUAGUAACCAAAAUAUUUGGAGCAUUUAUUUCACAGGGAAUAACAGGGAUAGGAAAAUGUUUUUGACUAUUCUCUCCCAGAUUAGGAGUAGAAUAUUUUUGGGUGAUUCUGGAGAUGAAAAUGGAUGGAUAUAUGUGGAUGGUACUUCUAGAGUAGAAGUAGCAUAUAUGAGUGAGCGUGCAAGUGAAUCUUGAUUUAACCACAUGAUAAGUUCCUAAGGGUCUACACAGCUUGACCACACUCAAUGCUCAUAAGCAGUAAAUAGUAAAUGUGUGGCUCAAAGUCUAGCAAGCAUGUAUAUAUGGCUGUGGUAGGAAUUUAAACUCUCAUCAUACAGGAACUCAUCAUGCAAUAUUUUAAAGAUUUUUUCAAAGAUAAAAUUCUCCAGAAUUCUAGCAUCUCUUGGAACAGAUAAAUAGCAGCUCAACCUUCCCAUAUCAUAUCUGUUAACAACUUAGAUUUCAGAUCAAGUUUUCAUCCCACAAGUUUAGAUCUAGAGCAAGCUUUAAAUUAUAACAGUUAUGUCUAAACUUGAG
rnacentral:lncRNA from 1 species